rnacentral:piRNA from 1 species
UGCCUAGCUAUUUUCUUCUUUCUGGAAUGU